rnacentral:misc_RNA from 1 species
UGGUGGUGGUGGUGGAGGUGGUGAGACCCUCCACCGAACUAACUAACUACUCUCCAACUAUUACUAAUUUUAUGAUUUUUCUAUUGGUAGAUUCCCUAUAGCUUGGCAUUGCAUCCACUUCCUUCACGGAUUAUUCUCGAUCUUACCAGAAGCCCACAAGCUAUUAUUAUCCUUAUUUGCCUACCAAACCCAUCAGUCACCAAAUCCCAAAAUUGAUGCAAGAAAACUUCUUUAAUUUGGUUGUACCUUAUAUGAAUAUGUAUGUUGCAAGCAAACGUAAUAUUACUACUUGGAAGGAA